rnacentral:lncRNA from 1 species
GAGGUAUCCAUUUGAUUUGAAGAAAGAGAUCAACAUCAGCCAUCUAGAUCCUUCAUCGCGAGCUAGCACUCCCAAGAAGGAUGAUCUAUUUGGCGCUUUAAGUGGAUCAUCUGUAGAGGUUGGAUAUGCUGUACGGCUGCUUGACAUUAGGAAGGAUCUCCUACCAUAUGUAUCAGUAGUGGUGAUCAUUGAACCAUGAUCAGGUAUUGGGUUUUGAACUCUACGGAUCAGAUCUAAGCGUUAGAUUUGAUUCAGGGUAUC